GAUGAAGAACGUAGUGAAAUGCGAUACGUAAUGUGAAUUGCAGAAUUCAGUGAAUCAUCGAGUCUUUGAACGCACAUUGCGCCCCCUGGUAUUCCGGGGGGCAUGCCUGUUCGAGCGUCAUUGCUGCCCUCAAGCACGGCUUGUGUGUUGGGCCUCCGUCCUCCUCCCGGGGGACGGGCCCGAAAGGCAGCGGCGGCACCGCGUCCGGUCCUCGAGCGUAUGGGGCUUCGUCACCCGCUCUUGUAGGCCCGGCCGGCGCUUGCCGACACAUCAAUCUUUUUUCCAGGUUGACCUCGGAUCAGGUAGGGAUACCCGCUGAACUUAAGCAUAUCAAUAAGCGGAGGA
rnacentral:misc_RNA from 1 species